rnacentral:rRNA from 1 species
UACGUAGGGUGCUAGCGUUGUCCGGAAUCAUUGGGCGUAAAGCGCGCGUAGGCGGCCCGGCAAGUCCGCUGUAAAAGUCAAAGGCUCAACCUUUGAAUGUCAGUGGAUACUGCCGGGCUAGAGUCCGGAAGAGGCGAGUGGAACUCCUGGUGUAGCGGUGGAAUGCGCAGAUAUCAGGAAGAACACCGACGGCGAAGGCAGCUCGCUGGGACGGUACUGACGCUGAGGCGCGAAAGCGUGGGGAGCGAACAGG